GACGAACGCUGGCGGCGUGCUUAACACAUGCCAGUCGAACGGAAAGGCCCCUUUGGGGGUACUCGAGUGGCGAACGGGUGAGUAACACGUGAGUAACCUGCCCUUGACUUCGGGAUAACUUCAGGAAACUGGGGCUAAUACCGGAUAGGAAUCCUUGCUGCAUGGUGGGGGUUGGAAAGCUUCGGCGGUUUUGGAUGGACUCGCGGCUUAUCAGCUUGUUGGUGGGGUAGUGGCUUACCAAGGCUUUGACGGGUAGCCGGCCUGAGAGGGCGACCGGCCACAUUGGGACUGAGAUACGGCCCAGACUCCUACGGGAGGCAGCAGUGGGGAAUAUUGCACAAUGGGCGGAAGCCUGAUGCAGCAACGCCGCGUGCGGGAUAACGGCCUUCGGGUUGUAAACCGCUUUCAGCAGGGGCGAAGCUUGUGGUGACGGUACCUGCAGAAGAAGCACCGGCUAACUACGUG
rnacentral:rRNA from 1 species